rnacentral:rRNA from 1 species
GACGAACGCUGGCGGCGUGCCUAAUACAUGCAAGUAGAACGCACAGUUUAUACCGUAGCUUGCUACACCAUAGACUGUGAGUUGCGAACGGGUGAGUAACGCGUAGGUAACCUGCCUGGUAGCGGGGGAUAACUAUUGGAAACGAUAGCUAAUACCGCAUAAUAUUAAUUAUUGCAUGAUAAUUAAUUGAAAGGUGCAAUUGCACCACUACCAGAUGGACCUGCGUUGUAUUAGCUAGUAGGUGAGGUAACGGCUCACCUAGGCGACGAUACAUAGCCGACCUGAGAGGGUGAUCGGCCACACUGGGACUGAGACACGGCCCAGACUCCUACGGGAGGCAGCAGUAGGGAAUCGUCGGCAAGGGACGAAAGUCUGACCGAGCAACGCCGCGUGAGUGAAGAAGGUUUUCGGAUCGUAAAGCUCUGUUGUAAGAGAAGAACGGGUGUGAGAGUGGAAAGUUCACACUGUGACGGUAUCUGACCAGAAAGGGACGGCUAACUACGUG